rnacentral:rRNA from 1 species
CAGCAGCCGCGGUAAUACGUAGGUGGCAAGCGUUGUCCGGAAUUAUUGGGCGUAAAGCGCGCGCAGGCGGAUCAGUCAGUCUGUCUUAAAAGUUCGGGGCUUAACCUCGUGAUGGGAUGGAAACUGCUGAUCUAGAGUAUCGGAGAGGAAAGUGGAAUUCCUAGUGUAGCGGUGAAAUGCGUAGAUAUUAGGAAGAACACCAGUGGCGAAGGCGACUUUCUGGACGAAAACUGACGCUGAGGAGCGAAAGCGUGGGGAGCGAACAGGAUUAGAUACCCCAGUAGUCCCUGUCUCUUAUACA